UGCCCAGUGCUUCCAGUUCUUUCCGGGAGCAAACCAGGGUCACGGGGGAGGGGACCUCCUACCCCACCUCCACAGCCAGAACCCCGUCCUCAGGGAGAGUCUGAAGCACCAGCUCUCCGCAUUGUUCCAAGGGGAAACUGAGGCUCCUCAAGGGACGGUGACUCGGCCAAGGCUGCCCGGACACGCCCGACCCCCUGGCCUGAGGCCUGCCUCCGGCCCCUGCCUGCGGCUCCGACGUCCCCCCACCCGUCCCCAGGACCUGCCUGGCAAAAACCAAAUCACGGCCGCCUGAAAGUCGACAUCGGAAUUACUGCCGAGCCCUUGACUCGGGGUAAUUAAGAGCAUUUUGGGACGCCUUGGUUGAUUAAAAGCAGAUCAUCCGUUCAGAAUGAAAAUUCA